UGCUUUUUCCCUCCUUUUUCUUUUUCUUUUGUUUCUUGUUUACAAGUGCUGGUGCGCUCUUGCUCGACUUCAAAGAACGGAGAGAAGGUUUGAAACG
rnacentral:ribozyme from 14 species